rnacentral:snRNA from 1 species
AACUUUGCAUGGUGCAGCAGCAUUGCCAAUGAGAUUUAUCUGAGGCGUGAUUAUUGCUAAUUGAAAACUUUUCCCAACACAUAAAUGAGAGAGAAAAGGGAAAUCUCUGGCACAUAAGAAUUCCAAACCAUUUAUUUUAUUUUAUCGCUCACCCUUUCUGCCGAUUUUUGCUCUAGUUAUUUUUGAGAUAGGGUCUCUUUU